UUUAUUAUUUUCUAAUAUUUUAUUCAUUUAUCCAUGGAAUUGAUUCUGCAUUUUCCAUUUUCAUUUUAUUUUCUUUUGCUCUCUCCACUCCGUGCAUUUCUUCUGUUCGUUCCAUUUUCAGAAAUCAUGCAAAGUUCGGAAUCUGACAUCGGUUUUGCUAUGUUUUGAAGAACUCUCCGAUUCGUGUUGGGACAGUCUGGGGAUGAUGAGUCUGAGAUCAAAGAGGAAGAGCAAUCAAGAUCCUCAACUACAAUUAGAGCAUUCCUUUUUACCUAGAGUAGGCAUGUUCACUAGGAACUGUGGAAGCAGCCUUCCCAACAUUAUAAAUAUAGAUGAUGAAGAUGAUGAUGACGAUUUGCUAAUUUAUUCUCCAAGCCAGGUGUCAUCCGCCUCACAGACAAUGGGAUUAUUUCCUAUUCCGAGUUCAAGGGUUACUGUCACUGAAGAUGAUUUGGAACUCCGUCUUGGAUUCAGAGUGGCUUGGCAGUGCAUAGUGAAUCUGCUGAGAAUCGAAGUCACACUGUCAAUGGAGUAGGAGAACCUCCACGACCUUGGAAAGUUGUCAAGACGAAGUUUGGAGUGCCUUCAAGCAGCAGGCAGCAUGUGCAAGAGGUUGACGAAAUAAAGCUUAGGUGCACAAUCUGCAUGGACACCAUGAAGGAAGAGACAUCUACUUUAUGUGGGCAUCUUUUCUGCAUGUCCUGCAUCACAACCGCCAUCCGGGUCCAGAAUAGAUGCCCCACCUGUCGGAAGGAGCUGUUCAUUGGCAAUAUCCACCGUAUUUAUCUCCCAGGAUCCCAGUCCUGACUCUCUACCUUACAAUUUGAUACAUAAACAGUUUAUACUCCAUAUACCCACCUUACCCCUCUAUACUUUGGCAGAUUGUCAGCUAAAAUGCCUUUUAAUUUUUGGAUAGUAGAAGAAGGUUACGUGGAAUUUGUAGUGGAUGACCAAAUUUUAUUAAAAUAGUUAUAGUUCUUAGUAGGGGAGUCAUCGGUGAUGAUAUAGGGUUUUGAUUCUGCUGUUGCCUGUUAAUGGGAUGAAAAGAAUGCAGAGGAGGUAGAUGUAUAAAAAGAAAUUGUUAAUUCAGACCUUACGGAUUCUCAUUUUUAUUCUUUGUUUCGAUACAAUUUAAUAGAGGAUGGACAUUAAAGAUGGCUUAUUACCUUUAUAUUUUUGGGUACAAAGAGAAAAGAUGCAGCAGCAACUACUUGGGGUGGUGCAGCAGUGCAAUCCACAAACCUGAAAUCCUCAAGCCUGAUUCUUUAUAGAUUUUGCAAAAUAUCUUGUAUUCUGAUGCCAGUAUCUUUAUCUUUGGUUGACUAGGUCUGUUAGAUGGUUGGCUUCUUUUAUAGGUGUGGCUGAAGUGAAUACGCGUUUGAGCGUUUCCCACUCUCCCCCACCAAUCUCCAUUUAUCUAUGAUAAUAUUGCUCGUGAGUCGUGAGCGGUGACCCAAGGAGUUUUGACUUUUAAUGCACUGGACGGUAAGCUUGGAGUUGCCUUCACUUGCGAUGUUGUUUUGAUUUAGUUCAAUCAUCAAUGGCUCCAACGACCAUUUCUUUUGCUCCCCGUGCCUCUGCUACUGUAAUUGUGUUGAUGCCAAUCAUCUUUGUAUUGAAGUUAAUAAUGUUGCUGUAGAACCAUCUCUCGCUGCCCAGCCAGUUGCUGAUGAUUUUAUUGAGUUGUGGUACCUUCCAUCUGAUAUUUUUUUGGUAAAACCAUUUGAUGAAUUUGAGAUUCUUAUUUGUAGUCUUAUUUUCAUAUUAGUGCAUGAUUUCUUGAAAGUUUUAAGUUUGAUGGCCGCCCAUUCAA